AUACUUACCUGGCAGGGGAGACACCAUGAUCAAGAAGGUGGUUCACCCAGGGUGAGGCUCGGCCAUUGCACUCCGGUUGUCACCUUCACCUUCACCUUCAUAAUGUACCAUAGGGCAUUUUUGUUACAUUUUUUGUUAUUUAGUUGCAUUGUUUUAGUGUCACAUA
rnacentral:snRNA from 1 species